AAACUUAAAGGAAUUGACGGAAGGGUACCACCAGGAGUGGAGCCUGCGGCUUAAUUUGACUCAACACGGGGAAACUUACCAGGUCCAGACAUAGUAAGGAUUGACAGAUUGAUAGCUCUUUCUUGAUUCUAUGGGUGGUGGUGCGUGGCCGUUCUUAGUUGGUGGAGUGAUUUGUCUGGUUAAUUCCGAUAACGAACGAGACUCUCCCCUGCUAACGGACCUUAGUGUUUUUCUAGACGGUGUGAUUCGGAGCAAGAGUCCAUGGGCGUAAGCCCCGGUCUCGGACGAUGUCCACUGAUCCUUGGUGCGUUGGUGUUCCGCGUGCCAUCGGAGAGUCGAGUGUUCGCAUUCUUCGCCUCUGUGGAUUUCUCGGUUCAUUGACAAAGCGCCUCGGAGUACGUUUCUUCUUAGAGGGAUUGACGACUUAUAAGUCGUAAGAAACAGGGAGCAAUAACAGGUCUGUGAUGCCCUUAG
rnacentral:rRNA from 1 species